GAGGUGGUUGAGUCACCAUCCCUGGAUGUGUUUAAGAGCCAUUUGGAUGUGGUGCUCAGAGAUAUGAUUUAGCAGAGGGUUGUUAGAGUUAGGGUACUAUGGUUAGGCUGCGGUUGGACUUGAUGAUCUUUGAGGUCCUUUCCAACCUGAGUAACUCUUUGAUUCUAUGAUUCUAUGAUUCUAUCCCAGUGCAUCCAUUUACCAAGAGAAGAGCAAGGAAGUGAGCCAACUUCAUUGUGCAUUGUGCUUUGAAUUAGGUACUUUCUGUAGGGGGGGACUCAAGACUGCUGCUCAAAGUUUUGCCACUGCUACCUGUGGGAAUGUGGGGAAACCAACAGCUCUGCCCGUUCAUGGAUAAUCUAAAGUAAAAUUGUAUCAAUCAUCAGAAUAUCCCAAAUUAGAAGAGACCCGUAAGGAUCAUCACAUCCAACUCCUAGUGUCUGCCUUUGAGCUCUGGGAUGUUCCAUCAUCUGAGUAUGAUCUGAGUUUGACAUCUAUAAAAGAGUGUUAUUAAGACAAUAUAAACUACUACUAUCUUCCUAUGCAAUUCUUCCUGUACAUGGGAUGUGCGGAUCUCUCUGUGCCCAGUUCCCACCUGAUCACUCCAACUUUUUCUCUUACAUUUCUCCCCACAGUCCUCACCAAAUUUGGUUGCUUUUCACAGGAUCAGAGUCACAGAAUGCCUUGGGUUGGAAGGGACCCCAAAGAUCAUUGAGUUCCAACCCCCCUGCCACAGGCAGAGCUGCCAGCCAGCAGAUCAACUGCUAGUUCAGAUUGCCCAGGGCCCCAUCCAACCUGGCCUUGAACACCUCCAGGGAUGGGGCAUCCACAACCUCUCUGGGCAGCCUUUACCAGCACUUCACCACCCUCCCAGAAAAGAGUUUCCCCCUGACAUCUUGUCUUUUUUCUCUGUGUGCUCAAAAUAUAGCUCCUAAAAUGACUGUUGAAAAAGUUCACGGUGCCAAAGCUUUGUACAUAUUCAUAAUACAGCCACUACUGAUAACAACUUGCCUUCUGAGGUUUAACCCCUCUUUGCCCAGCAGAACCAGUACAACUGCUUAGUGUCAUUUUUUUCCCUAUUCCCAGUCAGGGCUCUUUGCCCCCAGAGCCUCCCCUUGCUCAUAUCACCUCCAGCAGAGAAACAGGCUGUGAAGAUGGGCAGGAACAUUUCUGCAGUCUUUAUUCCUGGUAACUCUGACUGAGUCUGAAAGCACACAGCUGGAUGCCAACAGCCCAGACAGAGUUGAAGAAGUUGUACUGUGAAAGGAGGGGUGGAUUGGUGGAUGUGCUCUUCCUGUAAACUGAAAACUGAAAGUGCCUGACCACAGACAGCCAGAAGAAACAAAUCCGGAACCCUCCAGGACACAUUUUAUGGUUGCUUUUGACAGAAGAAAUUAUUUCAACCUGGCAAUGAUGUCAUUAACUUCUCGGCAUUGAUUCGGAAAUUCUCCUCUCUCUUCUAGC
rnacentral:lncRNA from 1 species